GCCAGCAUGGUGUAGCGGUUUGAGCACUGGACUAUGACUCUGGAGACCAGAGUUCAAAUCCCAGCUCAGCCA
rnacentral:tRNA from 1 species